AUUCUGGGAAGGCGUAUGUGUCAGCCUGAAGGUUCCGGUAAAGAAGACUGAGGAAAACUCUGACCUGAAGGACCUAGAGAGCCGGCUCCUAAUCAGAAGAGCAGAGUCUCCCAUGUACUGGGCUGAUAGCAUUGGCUAUACAUUGGAACCUUCUACUUGAAUCAGGCAGUGCCUCAUUCUGUGAAACGGAGUAAGUGUCCUGAUGAGCUAAGCAGAGGAGGGCGGCUUUACAGGCAGACAGGACGCAAACGGGAACACGGAAUGAAAAGCAGUCUGGCCAUUUCAGAGAUGGGGGUCUCACUCUGUCACCCAGGCUGGAGCACAGCGGAACAAUCAUAGUGCACUGCAGCCUUCAACUCCUGAACUCAAGUGAUCCUCCUGCCUCAGCUUCCUGAGUAGCUGGGACUAUAGGCUAGAGUGUAGUGGCUCAAUCUCGGCUCACUGCAACCUCCACCUCAAGUGAUAUUCCUGGGUUUAAGUGAUACUCCUGCCUCAGCCUCCUGAGUAGCUGAGAUUACAGGUGCCGGCCACCACACCCAGGUAAUUUUUAUACUUUUAACAGAGAUGGAGUUCCACCGUGUUGGCCAGGCUGGUCUUGAACUCCUGACCUCGAGUGAUCCACUGG